UCAAACUCAUGGUAAUCCUUCUGCCUCAGCUUCCUAAGUUCUGGGAUUACAGGUGUGCGUCACCACACUUGCCUAAUAGAUUCAUUCUUAAUAACUACAAAAUAUAAUUUUAAUAAGCAUGUUCAAACACAUAUAGAAAACCCUCCUAUGGAACUUUAUCGCAACAUAAAUGCCUUAAAUUUAUUUAUCUUCUUAUCUAUUAGAGGGCAAGGGACCAAAGUAAGUCACUCAAAUGUCAGGACAUUUAUAUAGCACCAGAAAGCUAAACACGCACAAAACUCUACAUUUGCCAUUCUCACCAUCUGAGGGUUUCACCUGUAAAAUUCUUGUUUUUUACUGGUACAAUUUAGAUAUACAUGAUGAUCACACUCAUCAUAGGGAAGUUGUACCUCUGCGUGAUAUAUCUUGAUUCUUCUUUUUUUCCCAUUCCCCUUGUAUACAUUUCCCUGAUCCGGUUGCAAGGCCACUGAAGGGGGGAAGCUUUUUAAAAGAAAUUUAAAAAUUGUGCUAAAAAUAGAAAGGUUUCUAUUCUACUUGAAGGAAAGCACCUGUCAGUCAAAAGGGUUAAGAGUGGGCACCAAGGGGCACUUCCAUGAAGGAGCGCUGUAGGGAUCUUGUUUGCACUGGCGGCCAGCUUUGAAUGCCAGUUUACUUAGGACCUGGCAAGAAGCAGGGGUAGUUUCCCAAGACUGGAAUCCAAAUAAACUUUCCCCAGCUAAUAGCAUAGUGUAAGGAGGGCUGGUCCAGUUUUCACCUGUGACUCACUAUUUUUAUGAUUUGGGGAUUUAGUUCUUUUGAACCUCAAUUUCCUCAUCUGCAACAUGGGAAGAAUAAUCCUCUCCUGGGAAUUGUUGGAAAGUGUCCAGAUAUCUGUAUAAAGUGCUGGAUAUGUAACAGGCACUCAAUAAAGGCAGCUCUGAGCUUCAUAGCACUUGGCUGCCCAGGAAAACUAGUACUUGUCCCAGAACCAUAAAAACACUCUUCUGAUACCAAAAAGGAAAGAAAAAGGAAACAUGAACAGCUCUUUAAGACAAGCAAAAUCAUCUUUCUACCUAUCAAAGAGACUAGCAUGGUGAAUUGCAUGGAACUGACGUUCAGAAGCUUUGCCAGAAGGUGGAAGUCUAACAGGAGAGAUAAAUGUGCUUUAUCUACAAGCUGGAAGGUAGUGAAAGACUUUCUCUUUAGGGGCUAGGAAUCCCUCCAUGCAAAGUGGGUUUCAGUGGAGGUAACAGUUCUGUGGACUGUAGAUUAUUACCCUGCCGCACCUACAGCCCCGAGCACGGUCCUGCGAGUUUCCGGCAUUUCUCUUUGGGGCUCUCUGGACAGCUCUGUGUUUUUCCUCUGCUACUGCAAGGCCUGCUCCAAACCUCACCUGCUCCUGUCCUCUCAAAGCUUUUCUGUCAGGUGCCAGCUGCCAGAGUUCUGCUUCAAAGCCGCUGUGAGAUGAAAUUCCUGGAGACUCCAGGCCCACUGGCGGUGGUGGGGAAGCCAGGGACACACAAAAGGGCUCUGGCUCAGCCGCUUUCCAAACCCACAAUCCGUGAGUCACUUUAGGUUGGCUCCAAGAGCUCCUGGGGGCGGGAGGUCGCCUGACCAGUAAGCAUUUGGUUCUUUGAGGGGUCACAGUGUCAACAGGGAGUCUGUCUGGGAGGGGUUAGCCUGAUUUUCAAUCUGUUAUUUCUCUUCCUGUGCCUGCCACUUCCUGCCCCAGCCUCCUGCCACAUCCUGGUGCCCAGCUGGGUGGAGGGCGAGGGAUUCUUCUGUCACAUAAUUAAUGGAUGCUGAGAUGGGUCCUUUCAAGGCAGCUAUUGUAAAGACUCCAAAAGCAAGGGCAGGAUGGAGGUCAGAGGUCACACACCCUACUCUUUGCCAAGGCUUAGCCAAGAGAAAUGAAGUGGGGAGCAGAACAUAGUCAACAAUCGAUGAUACCACAUCUGAACAGAAGAAAGGAGAGAACCAGGGAGUAAGGAACGGACAAAAUGACUGAGCACCAGCUUCUCCUGGAGGCCGAGAUUUGCUCCUGGGGGUCUGCUCCUUACCCUUCUGCCCAGGGCCUUCCAUCCUAAAUAGGCAGUGGCCAUGGCACGUGGCAGUAGGUGACAGCCCUUGCACUUGCAGGUUUGUAGCAGCAUUAUUCAUAAUGGUCUCAAGGUAGAAGCAACUCAACUUUCCAUCAACAGUGAGUGGAUAAACAAAAUAUAUGUGUGUUUUUUUAGGGGCUAUGAAAUGUGACCAGGGGAAGAGUACACUUGGGUGUGUGCGCACGCACACACACACACACAGCAGUAUUACUCAGUGUUACACAGGAAGGGAAUUCCAACACUGCUAUAAUAUGUUUGAACUUUGAGGAUAUUAUGAAAAGUGCAUAAGCCAGUCACAAAAGGAUAAUCACACUAUAAUUCCACUUACGUGAUACCUAGAGUGGUCUUAUUUAUAGAGAUAGAAAGAAGACUAGUGGUUGGCAGGGGUCGGGGAGAGAGGAACAAACAGUUACUUUUAAUGAGUAUAGACUUCCAGUUUUUCAGGAUAAGAUUUAUGUAGAGGGAUGGUAAUAACAGUUGUACAGUGGUGUGAGUGCCACUAAACUGUACAUUGGAAGUGGCAGAGAUGGGACAUUUUUAUGUAUUUUACCACAGUUUUUUUUAAGUGAGAGAUGGUCUGGAAGAUUAUCAUUUUUCAUAGCAGCAGGUGACUGGGUACACGUGAAUCCUGUCCCUGAAGCAUGUGAUGUCUAGUGAUUCUUUUUUUUCAGAGAAAGGAAAAUAUAAAAAGAUUUUUUAGAAUUUUUAGGAAUUUUUUAAUGGAAGUGUCUUCCAUUGGUGAAAAGUCAGCACUUUGCUGCCAUGAUGAUGCUUUCCUGAGCAGUGAUGAACAGCCCACCCCAUGAAGAAGGACCACCAUGAGAAUGGCCAAGGGGACCAGAUGUGAGCACAGCGUGUGGCCCAGGCACAGUGUGUGUGGGAAAAACCCAGAAAGAGAAAGGGAUAAAGUGAGGGGGAAAUGGAGAGAAUAGGGAAUGGGAAGCAGAAAGCCAUGUGUAAGGGAGGCAGAAGAAUGUAGAAAAGGCUUUCUGCUGUGGAGGAUUGUGAACCCCAACAGCAAGAAUAACAAAGACUUUGAAACUUAAGAGUCUGUCAGCAGAAGAGCUCAGUGGAGAAGUCACUGCAGAGUAAAACAAGACGAGACAGAUUUUUCUGUCCCCCCCACACUGAGCAAAACAACACUAGAGGAAGAAACAGAGGCAGGGAUGCUCUCCAUCUCUGACCUGUAAGAUCCCACAACUCUCGAGGAGAAAGGAGGCCUCACCAACAUGCUGCUCUCUAGAGAACAAGCUUUCCGGCCAGAACCACCUGGAGGGUUUUUAGAACGAGAAAUGGCCACACCCAGAGACUGCUCUGUGGUGGCGUUGGGUGGAGUCUGAACACCUACAUUUCUGGUAAGUUUCCAGGUGGUGCUGAGGCCCCUGGAUUAAGGCCCACUCUUUGCAAACCAUGACCUUAGAAUGAAAGAGGGAGAGGAUAUUAGUGAUUGGCUGAGUACAUUCAAGGUUUUCUCAAGUGCUUAAAAAGGAAGGCCGAAUCAAGAACUAUAGGGAGAGACUGUAUUGAAUUUAUAUUAGGUAAAUUUAUCCACAUUUGGUUUCUUUAAAGGCCAGGAACUUUAUAGUCAGAACUGGGCAACAUGGCUUUCUAGCAGUAUGCCUUGGUCAAGUUACUUAGCCCUAUUCUCCUCAUCUGUAAAAUUGGGCUAAUGAGUACUGACUCAAUGGGAUUUCUUGGAAGAUUGUGAUUGAUGUAAGUUGGGGAGGUGCCUCAGUGGUUCAGUGUUUGUGUAGCACGUAUGAAGGCCUGAAUUCGACCUCCCAGGACUAAGGCUGAUGCAUGUACGGGACUCAGCACGGUAGCAAGGCACAGGGUACUGUUCGACAAGUGACGGCGGGCUCCGUCAGAGUAGACAAUACUAACCAACACCAUUUAGAGACCCAUGUGUCUGCUAAUGUUAUGAAGGAGAGAAUGGAACCAGCGACACCAAACACAGUGAUGCUGACUGGGCCGUGGAGGUGGAGGGCAGUGGGCACGAGGGGCUUCUCACCCUGGACAUCCCCGGUCUCUUACGCUGGGUGGGGUGGGACAGGGGUACUCUUUUGAUUCUUUAAACCAUGCAUUUAUACUGGAGGUACUCCUCUGUAGAAAUGAAAUAUUUCACAAGGAAAGAUCUCAAAACAAAAUAAAAAGACUGUAAUAAAAGGCUGUAAAUUAUUGAGCUACUUCGGCUGCUAUGGUUGAGAUAAGAGCUCAGUUCUGUAAUAAAAUCCACAUCCAUGAACCGGAAGGCUCUGUGUUCUUUAUCUCUGAAUGACUCAUAUUUUCCUUCGGGAUCCCUUGAACAAGAACCCGCAGUAAGGAUUUGAGAGCACAGAGCACGGCGUAUUUUUCUGCAGACCAGAGAGUAGAAUAUGAGGCGGAAAAGCAGGACGGGGAGACAGGGAAGCAGAGAGACUGCUACGGGGAAGCUGGAAAAGUCAACAAAUGGUGUGCUCUUGAGGUCUUUGCUGAGCAGAGGCCUCACCUUCAGCAGGACCCCAAGAAGCACAGACUGGCAGGGCAGAGCUGGUGCCACACCUGCAAAGCAUGUGCAUGGCACACAGGCUGUGCAUGGUGAAAAGCACCAGACACAUUCGUUUCCUUGAAGACAGCAGUGGAAAGGGAAAAACGCACUAUUUAGCAGAAUUUAUUUUUUCACUCAUGUCUUAGGAUCAUCUUCCAGGAGUCUUCUCUGACUUCCCCCUGGCCAGACCAGAUUUUGCAGUUCAGUGCCUCCCUGAGGCCCUGUGCACUUCCCUUUCACUGUCUUUGCCCACAGGACCCCGUUAGCCAGGGGGUACCUGCCUCUCCCAGCAGGCUCUGUUUCUGGACCUUCACUGGCACAUGGGAAUUCACCAGUCAUUUGCUGAAUGAGAGUGAAGGCAUAGUGAGGGAACCAGGGGGUAAGGAAACAGGUUGUAUCCAGAGCCAAGAAAUAGUAGGAGGAGACAAAAAUAGAGCUGAAGGAAUAAAACAGAAAAUCCAGACUUGCUUCAUUUUAACACCAUUCUCAAAUUACCAAUAUGCUUUUAAUGUAUCUUAUUUGAAUCUUUCUUAAUUUUUUUUUUCCGGGGCAUCCCGAAGAAAGGCAUAGCAGGUGAGAUCCAUUGUUAAAUGCAUUCUUUUCCUGCUGGAGUUCUGAAGAGAUGGGCUUGGGGUAAGGCAGGCACAGAUUGGCAGGCCAUUUUGAUUAAUGAUAAAGUAGCUGUUUGAAAAUGUAGUUCAUGCUGGGCACGGUGGUGCACAGCUGUAAUCCCAGCACUCGGGAGGCUGAGGCAGGAGGAUCACUGUGAGUUUGAGGCCAGCCUGGGCUACAUAGUGAUUUCGAGGCCAGCCUGAAACACAUGGUGAGACUCUGUCUCAAAAACAAAAACCAAAAACCAACAACAAAGAAGAAAAUGUGGCUCAUGUUGUGAGCAGCACCAAGCCCUGGUGAGACUGACUUUCCCACACAGCAAGGGCCACCAGGGCAGCCUGGGUUGGUGCCGCCUGUGGCCAGGUGGCCCCCAAACGGGGGGGGGGGGAAGAGCAACUCCAGGCUGAUGUUCCAGUCCCUGCUUCCACAUCCGGGAUCAGGUAGGCCACCUUCCUCAGGGCACAUUGUGGGGUGCACAGAAGUCAGGAGAGUAACACUAAUCGAUGUCCUUCACAGGGAAGAAAACGCCAGGGGCAACGAGUAGGCUUCCUGGGACGGAUACCUGUUCUAAAGUAACGGCAAAACAAGUCUUUUUUAUACUAAUGGGUGUUGCUUGAAGUUUGUCAUCAUCGUGACAGAUUAAAAUUCAACAACAGACAGAUUAAAAUUCAACAACAGAAGAGAGAAAGAGGCCAGAUAUAAAGAAACAAUAUACGGCCACUUUCACAGUGGAGAAAUAUUCUAAAUUAGCAGUCACUUUAGCAUUUUUAAAAUAAACCUUUGGGAGGAAUAAAUAUCACAUGUACAUGGUACAAAAUUCAAAAGGAAUAAAGUGUAUAGAGAAAAAGUCUUUCUCCUACACUGGCGAUUGCUUUUAAGGGUUAUUUUCUAAUUAUACACAAUCAGAAACUCUUUCAGUUGCUCUUUUGCCCUGAUUUGCUGAGUAGUCUUCAGUUUACAAAUGGACACAUGGAGCUUAAUCGGUUUGAAUGUCCCCUGGAAUUCAGAUUGCAUGGUGCAUUUUUGUUUCUAGUUUUUAAAGCUAACUCAUUAGCUUUUAACUAUGCCUCAAAUGCAGCACAUGAAACCCAACUCUGCUGACUCGCUUGUGCUCGGAGUUCUAACCAAGACUAUCAGAAAUAAAUUGAAUUCUGGGCUGUUUUGUCUACUCCAACAUCCCAGCAGACCCCAUCUCUCAUCUCUCCCAAUUUCCAUACAGAACUUCCAAGGUAAUUCCCUGGAAGAGGGGCACAAGUAUUGCCUCUGAGGCCCAUGGGUGUCUGAUGUCAUGUCGGGGAGGUUGCCAUACAGCCAGGAUCGGGCAGCAGGACAAUGGCACUGAUGGCCCGAAGGCAGUGGGGACACGGCUGCAGCUUUGCUCUGCUGGCAGGCACACCGGGUCUUUAGCUUGAAGACAACUGGAGAAAGUCGGCAGUCUGUUCAGUUACACACAGUGACAGCUUCCCUAUCUCUUGGUUUGAAUUGCUACAACUUGAAAAAGAGUGUUUUUCAUGGUUUUAACUUUAAUUCAUAUAUAAAAAUAUAUAAAGUAUAUAUUUAUGAUUUUUUGGUUAGGAAAACCAAACAAGUGACAUGUAUAGUCGCUUACCCCAAAUUGAGACAGCAAUUAUCAAAUAAGCUAAUUGUUUUCUUUUUUUCUUUAAGUGAUUGGCCUGCUGGAUUGGGGCCAGGCAUGUGCUCGGAGAGGAGCCCACUGAGAAGCUGACUGGAGCCCAGGGAGGGAGCUGCACUUCCCCUUUGGAGCUGGGAUGGGGCUGCAGGGGCUGGCAUCAGAGAGAGGCUUUCCAGGGAUCGAACUCAGAACCUUGAGCUUGUGCAGUAGGCAGCGGCACCACUGAGCUAAAUCCCCCGCCCCAUAUAAUCCUACUUUUUAACGAAAUUCUCUUAUUAUUUACAAUAGCUUUCCAGAUAUAUAUUUUUCUCUUUACUUUUAUUAAUCUGAUGAAUCAUAUUAGUUGUUGUCCUACUAUGAACAAACUGAGAUUCUUGGACUAGAUUUUGUAAUAAAGGAUUGUCUUUAAAUGUACCAUUGGUUCUCUUUGGUAAUAUUUGGGAUUUUUUUUUUAAAGUGAGACUGGGCUAUAGUUUCUUUUUUGGCAAUCUUUGUCAGGCAUAAUAUUAAUGUUAGACUCGUUAAAGAGUUGGGAAGAUUUCUUAUUUUUCCAAUCCUCUCAGCUGGAUUAAAUAGCAUUACAAUUAUUUCAUCUUUUAUGGUUUGACACAAUUCUCUCGUGAAUAUAUCCUUUGUCUUAAACACAGAUUCCUCAGUUCAGCCUCAGCUUUAUAAAUUAUGAAGCUCAGAAAAGCUAUGUUAAAAGUCUUCCCUCCCAACCUCCACUCCUAUCCUCAGACUGUCUUGACCCAUCAUAGGAUUCUGAGAUUUAUUUGGUGAUUUAGAGCAAACUAUAAAGCAACUAUCUUGUAACUGGAGCGUUUAGGAUGGGUUAGGGGAGGAGGCAGGAUGGGAAGAAGAGAGAGAAUGUGGAGGUGUUUGCAAUCAUACGGGGAGAACUGGUGAGAUCCUGGAACAAAGCUAUGCGGUGGUGAUGCAGAGGAGGGGUAUGAGGAAAGGCUUGGUGGGAGAAGUCAAAGGCGCGGUCACUGACUUCACGUUGAAAAUGCAAUGAGAUAAAGAACAAAAAUAACUCUUGCUGGGGGUGUCGCUCAGUGGCGCAGUGCCUGCCUGGCAAGCGAGAGGCCCUGGGUUCCAUUCCUGAUACCAAAAAUGAAAACGAAAAAGAAAAAGAUGACUACCAUGCACAGAGGAAACAUCUAAACAUCCAAAUGUCCCUCAGCCGAGAGUGGGGAAUUAAAAUGUGGCAUAUGCACGCAGUGGGGUAUUGUCAGCAGCGAAACACGAGCAAACCUUCAGCACAGCAUGCCAGGUGCAAGAAGCCAGUCAUGAAAGAUCACGGAUCAGACGAUCACAUUCACACGAAAUCUUCAGAGCAGGCAAAUCAACAGGGACACAAAGUUGAUUAGCAGUUGCCUAUGACUGAGGUAGGGAUAGAAUGGGGAGGUCUUUGCUAAUGGAGAUGGGGUUUCUUUUGGGGGUGAUGGAAUUUUUUUAUUUUUAAAAAAUGUUUAUUAGUCCG